CGGGAUGUAGCGCAGUUGGUAGCGCACUACGUUCGGGACGUAGAUGUCGCCAGUUCGAAUCUGGUCAUCCCGA
rnacentral:tRNA from 1 species